GCGAGGGUGGCGGAACAGGAAGACGCGCUGGACUUAGGAUCCAGUCUCGUAAGAGGUAGGGGUUCAAGUCCCCUCCCUCGCA
rnacentral:tRNA from 1 species